GGACAGUGUGGCUGUGAUAUCACCCCAUUGAUUGCUAGGGGGUGGUCCUGAUGUCCUUCUCAUCACAGCUCCAUGUAUGUUCCCUGAAGCCACUUGCUGGUUUGAGGAGGACCUUUUUAGGGGAGGACCAGUGUUUUGUCAAAGAUGUACAAAUAACUACACUCUCCAGCUAGAACCUCCAAACCAGCUUUCAAGGUCCAUUUGUAGGGAAAUGUGGUGGUCGAGCUUCGAAGACUCAGGGCAUACCAAGUGAGGCAAUGCGUGGCAGUCUGCCUUCCUUU
ensembl:misc_RNA 7SK 7SK RNA